CAGGCCUAACACAUGCAAGUCGAACGGUAACAGGAAUCAGCUUGCUGAUUUGCUGACGAGUGGCGGACGGGUGAGUAAUGUCUGGGAAACUGCCUGAUGGAGGGGGAUAACUACUGGAAACGGUAGCUAAUACCGCAUAACGUCGCAAAGACCAAAAGAGGGGGAACUUC
rnacentral:rRNA from 1 species